rnacentral:rRNA from 1 species
UACGGAGGUCUCAAGCGUUGUUCGGAUUCAUUGGGCGUAAAGGGUGUGUAGGUGGCGCCGUAAGUCGGGUGUGAAAUCUCGGGGCUUAACUCCGAAACUGCAUUCGAUACUGCGGUGCUUGAGGACUGGAGAGGAGACUGGAAUUCAUGGUGUAGCAGUGAAAUGCGUAGAGAUCAUGAGGAAGACCAGUGGCGAAGGCGGGUCUCUGGACAGUUCCUGACACUGAGACACGAAGGCCAGGGGAGCAAACGGG